CCAGGGCUAUGUAGAGAGACCCUGUGUCAAAAAAAAAAAAAUCCAGAUCAAUUUCAUCUUUCUGCUCUGCCAUUGUGUUCUAGCCAGUCACUAGCUGCCCAGCUCCAGACUUCAAGUCCCCAAUAUCACCAUCCAGAGGCAAAACAAUGGGGUUAUUGUGUCUUUAUGUCUCUUUCUCAUAAUUAUGAAACUUUUCCAGGAAAUCCCCCAGUGAUGUGUCUGCAUGACUCAUGGUCACAAGUAGGCUUCAUGCUUCAUUCUUGAGUUACCAUCAAGGAAAAGGGACAGCUAGGAAUAGAGCCAGACUCCCGAAAAGCUCAUGGCCACAAACAGUAAACUGGACAAAGUUGGGUGGAUUUGUUAGCAAAUAAUUGACAUUUGUCAUAUUUGUGGUUCUCUGUAUGAGGACAUGGUAUGAGUCUUGCUCACUAAGGAUGGAAACAAAAAGCCUUCCCAGUGAAUGGAGGCAUGCUCAGUGUGUAGUGUUAGCUACACCAGCCAGACACCAAACCCAGCUGAAAUGAGGCCUUGGUUAUCGGGCAGAGGACACUCUGGUGACUACGGAGAGCAUUACAGAAAGAAAGAGUCAGCCUGAGAGUUGUGCCUACCUCUGCACAGCAUCUAGGCUGUUAGCAGCAAUGAGCUCACACCUUCUCUUGGGUAGUUUGGGCACAGUUCCAGUUUAUGCUGCCAUUGAGCCCAUUUUCUAGUCUUCUAGGGGAUUCAAAGCUUCCUGUCACCAAACAAAAUCUCCUUCCGGUUCCAACUAACCCUGGUGGAUUCUUUUGCUCAUCAGCAGGAGUUCUGCAGGGCAGAAGUGAAGUCAUGUAGUCAAAACAUUGUGUCUCCAACUGUUGAGGGUCAGAUGUGUGACAUAAGAAAAUGCUAAGGGUACGUGUUCUCCAUGGUACACCCGAGUGUACCAUUGGCAGAGAACAACAGAUGGUUCCCAGAAGUUGUUCCCUGGGGCCAAAUUCAGCUUCCUUUUCUGUGAUGGCUCAAGCACCCUUUCUCUGGAAGCCUACCCUUCCCGUCCCUCUCCCCCCAAGCAUUUCCACUGAAUACCUUGGCAUUCAAAGAGCCUACAACUCAUGGUAA
rnacentral:lncRNA from 1 species